GGAACAAGAGGAUGUACUCCCGGGAACAAUGGCUGCUUCUCAUUUUAGUCAAAGUCUCCUGCAUCAGAGAAGUGAGAUUGUCUUUCUCUGCUGUGACACAAGAAAAUCCUUUAAUUAAAUCUAGUCUGUGUCCAUCAUCUCCAGGCCAACCCGAGAGAGAUGCUCUAAAUGAUUAAGAGAAAACUUAAAAAAAGUUUAAACGGAGGCGAUAAUUAACUUGUGCAAUUCACUUGUAAAUGCAUUCAGUCUUCAUCUGCGUGAGAAUGGUCCCCACAACAAUGCAGCCGCCUGAAGCUUCCCAGGUCUCUGAAGGCAAAGGGUAAUUGGCAAAGAAUGCUGAAGUCCGGAAGGAAUUCCUCCCACUGAGCUGGUGCAAGACAAUGCUGGAUGGGAGCCCUGGGAGAAGUGGCAGGGAACCUUGGGCUGUCACCAGCUACACUGAUAAGAGAGAGUGAAUAGCACAACAAAACUUCUCUUUUGGUUUAGCUUUGGCCAAGAUAAAAAACCCAGCUUUGGCUCUUGUCUACAGAACUGAUGGGUCUGGGACGUCAUUAGGGAGACGAAGUAGGACAGCCCAGCUCUCUCUCCUGGUCUAGAUCACUGGAUGUGGAGCAUGGUUCUUGCUUUCUUUCUGCCUGGAAGGGACCCAUGCUGUCCUGGUGAGAGACUUCUAUGGGAGGACAACAGCUUGAGUGUGCUAGGGAAGGCUGGAGAGCAUCAGUCACACUUCCUUACCACCGCCUGGUUUCCUGAACUGCAGACAUAACGGCGAAAGAGUGAACUUCAUGAAGGCUUUGGGAAAUGUUUUAGAUAUCAUUUUCUGCAGUGACGACUCCCUCCUUUGCUCUCUUAUGUGAACAGACAGCUUCCUAAUCGCGUGGUCAGAUCCAACUAUCGUGAUAAGGUCUGCUUCCAGUGCAGACAGAAGACUUCCCAGCACCAGAAAGGCAAGCUGUACUGUCCCAUGCCUUCUGCCUCAAGGGAGCCUGGUGCCAAGCCAAGUGUCUUCUACAUGGAAUGAUGUCUAUGGACUAGGAAAUAGCGGUGGAGAAUUCAGAGACAUUUUGGAACAUGAUUUCAGUUGGGAAUUUAUCGAGAGUUCAAUUGAACCAUUUGAUGAAAACCCCAAAAAAGAACCCAUUGUGGAAUCUAAACAGAAAAAGCCAUCAGGAGAAAAUCCCCAGGUUAAUGCAGUGAGGACUCUGGCUGGGCAGGCCAUCCUGGCUGUCAACAGCAGUGGGACCGGAGCAGCCUACUUAGGAAUUUGGUCGAUAAGGAGAACACAACAAGAUAGUGGCAAGUAAAUUUUUCUUUCGAUUGCCAUCUGAGGAGUCUAGGACUUUCCCUGUAAUUUUAGAGUGAUUUUUUUAGUCUCCCUUUAUGGUCUUUACUGGGAUUACAACACCUUGGGGCUCUAACUCUGCUGACACUGGGUUCCAUAUCAAGGCUCUUCCUGAUUAUGGGGCAGCUGGAGAAUUUGAUCUUUAUCCUGCCUUUUACUGUAGUCCCACAGUCUGGGAAGGGCUACAAGGCCAGCAUCACGUAUACCAAGCUAUAGGGUGACUGGGACUUCUUGAGGGAGGUAUGUGGUCUGCAGGCUCUGCUAUCUGAUUUUAUUCUCCUGGGGCACUCUACAUUCAUCUGGGAUCCUAAUGCCUUCAUGGACAAAUAAGUCUUAUGAUCACGUUAAUAUUUAUUACAUGAAUGCUUUGCCCCAUCAUAUUUCUCCCUGCUCUUUGUCAAGCUAUGAGAAUUUAUUAUAUUCCUGACUUCUGUCUAAGCAUUGGGGAAAUGCUGAGGAGUUGGAUUGAUCUUCUCCAGGUAUCUCCACUCUACCUUCACAAGACUUUCUUCUACAUGCUUUGGUGGCGGAAUACUUCUGGGAUGCUAUGGCUGGAUUUUCACUCGGUAAAACUCUCUUUAAUGGUUCUGGCUGUUUUGUCGGUCUUCUAGUGUGCUCUAUCUUGGAAUAUGUAUUAUUCAGAAAUG